UCAAGUGACUAAGUGCAUGUGGCGGAUGCCUUGGCGAUCACAGGCGAAGAAAGACGCGGCAGCCUGCGAAAAGCUGCGGGGAGCUGGCAAACGAGCUUUGAUCCGCAGAUAUCUGAAUGGGGGAACCCACACCGCAAGGUGUAUCCGUGACUGAAUACAUAGGUUACGGAGGCGAACGAGGAGAACUGAAACAUCUAAGUAUCCUCAGGAAAAGAAAUCAACCGAGAUUCCGGCAGUAGCGGCGAGCGAACCCGGAGGAGCCUAGCUUUUGAUAGUACGAACUUUAGCCGAAAGGUCCUGGAAAGGCCUGCUAUAGUGGGUGAUAGCCCCGUAGGCGAAAGAGUUCGUACGGUACUAAGGAAGCGAGAAGUAGAGCGGGACACGUGGAAUCCUGUUCGAAGAUGGGGGGACCAUCCUCCAAGGCUAAAUACUCGUGAUCGACCGAUAGUGAACCAGUACCGUGAGGGAAAGGCGAAAAGAACCCCGGGAGGGGAGUGAAAUAGAACCUGAAACCGCAUGCAUACAAACAGUAGGAGCCUCACCAGAGGUGACUGCGUACCUUUUGCAUAAUGGGUCAGCGACUUACAUUCUGUGGCGAGCUUAACCGAAUAGGGGAGGCGCAGCGAAAGCGAGUUCGAAAUGAGCGUCCAGUCGCAGGGUGUAGACCCGAAACCAGAUGAGCUAUCCAUGGCCAGGUUGAAGGUGUGGUAACACACACUGGAGGACCGAACCGACUAGUGUUGCAAAAUUAGCGGAUGAGCUGUGGAUAGGGGUGAAAGGCCAAACAAAUCUGGAGAUAGCUGGUUCUCCCCGAAAACUAUUGAGGUAGUGCCUCGUGUGUCGCUCCAGGGGGUAGAGCACUGUUUUGGCUAGGGGGACAUGGAGUCUUACCAAACCAAGGCAAACUCCGAAUACCUGGAAGCGUAAGCACGGGAGACAGAGCACCGGGUGCUAACGUCCGGACUCAAAAGGGAAACAACCCAGACCGCCGGCUAAGGUCCCCAAUAACAGCUAAGUGGAAAACGAAGUGGAAAGGCCGUGACAACCAGGAAGUUGGCUUAGAAGCAGCCAUCCUUCAAAGAAAGCGUAAUAGCUCACUGGUCGAGUCCUUCUGCGCGGAAGAUGUAACGGGGCUAAGCUGUUAACCGAAGCCGCGGAUGCACUGAUUAUUCAGUGCGUGGUAGGGGAGCGUUCUGUAAGUCUGCGAAGGCGGUUCGAGAGGACUGCUGGAGAUAUCAGAAGUGCGAAUGCUGACAUGAGUAACGUUAAAGCAGGUGAAAAGCCUGCUCGCCGUAAGCCCAAGGAUUCCUGCUCUACGUUCAUCGGAGCAGGGUGAGUCGGCUCCUAAGGUCAGGCCGAAAGGCGUAGCCGAUGGGAAUCAGGUUAAUAUUCCUGAACCUGCGUCAGAUGCGAUGGGGGGACGGAGCAUGAAAGAUCAUCCGGGUGUUGGAUGUCCCGGUUGACGAGCGUAGGAGGUCUGCAGGCAAAUCCGCAGACGCAUCUCCAAGGCGAAGUCACGUGCCGCCACGGCGGCGAAGUGAUCGGAAGUGCUUCCAAGAAAAGCCUCUAAGCACCAGUCUGACGCGGACCGUACCGCAAACCGACACUGGUGGGCGAGCUGAAUAUGCUCAGGCGCUUGAGAGAACUCGGGAGAAGGAACUCGGCAAAUUGACACCGUAACUUCGGAAGAAGGUGUGCCGUAGUACCGUGAGAGGAGAGACACCUUGAGCGGGAAUCGGUCUCAGAGAAUAGGUGGCUGCGACUGUUUAUUAAAAACACAGCACUCUGCAAAGUCGAAAGACGACGUAUAGGGUGUGAUGCCUGCCCGGUGCUGGAAGAUUAAUUGAUGGGGUGAGAGCCCUUGAUCGAAGUCCCAGUAAACGGCGGCCGUAACUAUAACGGUCCUAAGGUAGCGAAAUUCCUUGUCGGGUAAGUUCCGACCUGCACGA
rnacentral:rRNA from 1 species